CUCUCUCUCUCUCUCCCUGCAGAGCCUCCUCACAGCUGCCUGCCUGUCUCCUACUCAUAGGAAGACUCCAUCUAUGCAUAAUCUCUUUCCUUUCCUGGCAGUUCUUCAGCAGUCUGUUUGGAGCAGCAGUGGCCAUACCCACAGAAAUGUUUGUGAUCACCAUAGAUCUGGCCCCCUAAAGCUGGGACCCCUCAAGGCCAGUGUGCUGCCAGGUGGCAUUAAAGGACUCUCCCUAAGUCCUGGGGACCAGUGAAUCAUUUAUGGCCGUUUGACAGACAGCAGGCAUGGACAUGUCCCACGCCAUGGACCACCUCACUUCCCCCUCUGUGCUGUGGCCAGGAAGAGCACACUUGGAGGUGUCUGGCAACUUCAAGGCUCACAUAUCAGAGUGCCCUCGUUGCUGACAUGCGUAGUGUCAGAAACAGAUUUCCCAGGCCACCUGGACCAGCCUCAGCCCCUGAGGAUUCGACAUCUCCAGCCCGCCAAGCUGAACCCCCAGAACACAAUGCUGUAACUCCUUCCUCUGGACGAGGACGUCUCCCUCCCUGCGGGCCCCAUGAGCCCUGCUUCUCCUCAUCCCUAGGGGCAGCUAGUUUUGUGCCCUCCAGCUGCAGUGACUGACUGUCCCACGUCUCUAUCAAUUUCCCAGCAGCCAGCCGUUUCUUUAAAAAUGCUCACUGAAACAUUUGGGGAAACUGAGGCCCAAAGAACAGAUAUCUGGCAUGCCUUUAAGUGUAAACAGGGAACAGUUUCCUGAGCAAAAAUUCUGAAACCAAGCCCUGGGCUUAGGUGGGGUCUUGAACCAAGUCCAUGGCAGGUGUCACAGCUUCCCUCAACCUCUACUUCCACUAUGCUCUCCUUGCUGGUAUAUGGCUCCCGACGGCUGCCUCAGUGUCUGCCAUGUUUGACUUUCAGGUCUGACCCCAUCUUGUUCUCCAGUGAACGGCCUGGCUAUACCUUCAGUUCCCCAAGGCUGGCCCAGAGAGCUUCUCACCUUUUAGGAGUCUCUCAGGACUUGGGAUUUAGGACUUACUCUCUGGCUAUCAUCAUAGUUGAUGCCAUGCCCAUGUGACUGAUGGAUGGACCAGCACUACCUGAACUGGGUUGAGUUCCUGCCCCCAGACACGUUCAUCUGUGUGGCCUUGGAGAACUCACGGGAGUUCUCUGUGCUUUCACUUCCUUCCUGUGGCUCCUGGCACUGAGAAAGUGAUGACAAAGAUGGUGAUGAUGA